CAUGCUAACCAAUCAGAUGUUAGUUUAACCACUAACGAGCAGUGACGGACAAGCACGGAAUAUCCCGAACUCAGUCGGGUAACGCGGAAGAUGUCUAGACUAACCAGGAAAUGGCAUAGCAUGGGCAUUAUAAAAAUAGGGCAAAUCUUCUGUUCUUCACUAUUUCCUAAGUAGUCGUCAGUCAACAAGCAACAUGAAAGUCACAGCUCUUGCCCUUUUUGCUCUCGUCGGAGUCAUCGGUGUAGCUCUUGGUGCCGGGUACGGGUACGGCGGUUAUUCUGGCGGAUACACCUACAUGCCGGCAUAUGGAUACGGACAAGGACAAAGUGCGGGUGGAAUUGGAGAUGGAUCUUUCUUGUACCUGAUUGGGUUCUUGUUCCUGUUCCUGAUCCUGUUCAACGGAAACCUCUUCAACAGCACAUCUAGCACCACACCAAUCACCAUCGUCCAGGGUUAAUUAUGAUUUAGUUGCCAAUCGAACAGAGCCCGCAGAGCCAGUAGAACCUCCAAUAUUCCAAUCCUUUUUUUUGUAUUCGUUUUCUUCGUGUUGUAUGCUGACUGACCCGAGUGUACCCGUAUUUUGUGAUAACCCGAGUUUUUAUCAUUGUUGUCAUUUUUCUGUUGAUAUGUCUCAUACCAUAAA